GUAGGGUGCAAGCGUUAAUCGGAAUUACUGGGCGUAAAGCGUGCGCAGGCGGUUGUGCAAGACAGAUGUGAAAUCCCCGGGCUCAACCUGGGAAUUGCAUUUGUGACUGUACGGCUAGAGUGUGUCAGAGGGGGGUAGAAUUCCACGUGUAGCAGUGAAAUGCGUAGAGAUGUGGAGGAAUACCGAUGGCGAAGGCAGCCCCCUGGGAUAACACUGACGCUCAUGCACGAAAGCGUGGGGAGCAAACAGGAUUAGAUACCCUGGUAGUCCCACGUCCUAAACGAUGUCAACUAGUUGUCGGGUCUUAAUUGACUUGGUAACGCAGCUAACGCGUGAAGUUGACCGCCUGGGGAGUACGGUCGCAAGAUUA
rnacentral:rRNA from 1 species